rnacentral:rRNA from 1 species
GAAUGCUGACAUAAGUAACGAUAAAGCGGGUGAAAAGCCCGCUCGCCGGAAGACCAAGGGUUCCUGUCCAACGUUAAUCGGGGCAGGGUGAGUCGACCCCUAAGGCGAGGCCGAAAGGCGUAGUCGAUGGGAAACAGGUUAAUAUUCCUGUACUUGGUGUUACUGCGAAGGGGGGACGGAGAAGGCUAUGUUGGCCGGGCGACGGUUGUCCCGGUUUAAGCGUGUAGGCUGGUUUUCCAGGCAAAUCCGGAAAAUCAAGGCUGAGGCGUGAUGACGAGGCACUACGGUGCUGAAGCAACAAAUGCCCUGCUUCCAGGAAAAGCCUCUAAGCAUCAGGUAACAUCAAAUCGUACCCCAAACCGACACAGGUGGUCAGGUAGAGAAUACCAAGGCGCUUGAGAGAACUCGGGUGAAGGAACUAGGCAAAAUGGUGCCGUAACUUCGGGAGAAGGCACGCUGAUAUGUAGGUGAAGCGACUUGCUCGUGGAGCUGAAAUCAGUCGAAGAUACCAGCUGGCUGCAACUGUUUAUUAAAAACACAGCACUGUGCAAACACGAAAGUGGACGUAUACGGUGUGACGCCUGCCCGGUGCCGGAAGGUUAAUUGAUGGGGUUAGCGCAAGCGAAGCUCUUGAUCGAAGCCCCGGUAAACGGCGGCCGUAACUAUAACGGUCCUAAGGUAGCGAAAUUCCUUGUCGGGUAAGUUCCGACCUGCACGAAUGGCGUAAUGAUGGCCAGGCUGUCUCCACCCGAGACUCAGUGAAAUUGAACUCGCUGUGAAGAUGCAGUGUACCCGCGGCAAGACGGAAAGACCCCGUGAACCUUUACUAUAGCUUGACACUGAACAUUGAGCCUUGAUGUGUAGGAUAGGUGGGAGGCUUUGAAGUGUGGACGCCAGUCUGCAUGGAGCCGACCUUGAAAUACCACCCUUUAAUGUUUGAUGUUCUAACGUUGGCCCCUGAUCGGGGUUGCGGACAGUGUCUGGUGGGUAGUUUGACUGGGGCGGUCUCCUCCUAAAGAGUAACGGAGGAGCACGAAGGUUGGCUAAUCCUGGUCGGACAUCAGGAGGUUAGUGCAAUGGCAUAAGCCAGCUUGACUGCGAGCGUGACGGCGCGAGCAGGUGCGAAAGCAGGUCAUAGUGAUCCGGUGGUUCUGAAUGGAAGGGCCAUCGCUCAACGGAUAAAAGGUACUCCGGGGAUAACAGGCUGAUACCGCCCAAGAGUUCAUAUCGACGGCGGUGUUUGGCACCUCGAUGUCGGCUCAUCACAUCCUGGGGCUGAAGUAGGUCCCAAGGGUAUGGCUGUUCGCCAUUUAAAGUGGUACGCGAGCUGGGUUUAGAACGUCGUGAGACAGUUCGGUCCCUAUCUGCCGUGGGCGCUGGAGAACUGAGGGGGGCUGCUCCUAGUACGAGAGGACCGGAGUGGACGCAUCACUGGUGUUCGGGUUGUCAUGCCAAUGGCACU